GGUAGUAAAAGUCGUAACAAGGUUUCCGUAGGUGAACCUGCGGAAGGAUCAUUCAUAAUAAGUGUUUUAUGGCACUUUUUUAAAUCCAUAUCCACCUUGUGUGCAAUGUCAGGGUUGAUUUUUCUCCCGAGAGGAUCAGCCCCAAACAUCAACUAUAUCUCAACUCUUUGUCUGAAAAAUAUUAUGAAUAAAACAAUUCAAAAUACAACUUUCAACAACGGAUCUCUUGGCUCUC
rnacentral:misc_RNA from 1 species